rnacentral:rRNA from 1 species
GAUGAACGCUGGCGGCGUGCCUAAUACAUGCAAGUCGAGCGAACAGACGAGGAGCUUGCUCCUCUGACGUUAGCGGCGGACGGGUGAGUAACACGUGGAUAACCUACCUAUAAGACUGGGAUAACUUCGGGAAACCGGAGCUAAUACCGGAUAAUAUAUUGAACCGCAUGGUUCAAUAGUGAAAGACGGUUUUGCUGUCACUUAUAGAUGGAUCCGCGCCGCAUUAGCUAGUUGGUAAGGUAACGGCUUACCAAGGCAACGAUGCGUAGCCGACCGGAGAGGGGGAUGGGCGGCAGUGGAAGUAGGACACAAGCAAGGAACCUACGAGAGGGACCAGAAGGGAAGAUUACGCAAUGGGGGAGAGCCUGACGAAGCAAGGGCGCGUGAGAAAUAAAAAUAUUCGGAUCGUGAAACAUUGUUAUGAGGGAAAAACAAAUGUGGAAGUAAAUAUGCACGUCUGGACGGUACCUAAUCAGAAAGCCACGGCUAACUACGUG